rnacentral:rRNA from 1 species
CGGACGGGUGAGUAACGCAUAGGAAUUUACCCGAUAGUGGGGGAUAACCUGGGGAAACUCAGGCUAAUACCGCAUACGUCCUACGGGAGAAAGGGGGCUUUGGCUCCCGCUAUCGGAUGAGCCUAUGCCGGAUUAGCUGGUUGGUGAGGUAAUGGCUCACCAAGGCGACGAUCCGUAGCUGGUCUGAGAGGAUGAUCAGCCACAUCGGGACUGAGACACGGCCCGAACUCCUACGGGAGGCAGCAGUGGGGAAUAUUGGACAAUGGGGGCAACCCUGAUCCAGCCAUGCCGCGUGUGUGAAGAAGGCCCUCGGGUUGUAAAGCACUUUCAGCGAGGAAGAACGCCUGGCGGUUAAUACCCGCCAGGAAAGACAUCACUCGCAGAAGAAGCACCGGCUAACUCCGUGCCAGCAGCCGCGGUAAUACGGAGGGUGCAAGCGUUAAUCGGAAUUACUGGGCGUAAAGCGCGCGUAGGUGGCUUGAUAAGCCGGUUGUGAAAGCCCCGGGCUCAACCUGGGAACGGCAUCCGGAACUGUCAGGCUAGAGUGCAGGAGAGGAAGGUAGAAUUCCCGGUGUAGCGGUGAAAUGCGUAGAGAUCGGGAGGAAUACCAGUGGCGAAGGCGGCCUUCUGGACUGACACUGACACUGAGGUGCGAAAGCGUGGGUAGCAAACAGGAUUAGAUACCCUGGUAGUCCACGCCGUAAACGAUGUCGACCAGCCGUUGGGUGCCUCGCGCACUUUGUGGCGAAGUUAACGCGAUAAGUCGACCGCCUGGGGAGUACGGCCGCAAGGUUAAAACUCAAAUGAAUUGACGGGGGCCCGCACAAGCGGUGGAGCAUGUGGUUUAAUUCGAUGCAACGCGAAGAACCUUACC